rnacentral:rRNA from 1 species
UACGAAGGGGACUAGCGUUGCUCGGAAUCACUGGGCGUAAAGGGUGCGUAGGCGGGUCUUUAAGUCAGGGGUGAAAUCCUGGUAGCUCAAACUCCAGAACUGCCUUUGAUACUGAGGAUCUUGAGUACGGGAGAGGUGGAGUGGAACUGCGAGUGUAGAGGUGAAAUUCGUAGAGUAUUCGCAAAGAACACCAGUGGCGAAGGCGGCU